AGUCCAGUAUCACCCAAGUAGCAUCCAGGUUGGUACAUAGACACACUGUCAAUAUAUAUAUGAUAUCCCCCAGUGAGGUAUAAGUCCAGUAUCACCCAAGUAGCAUCCAGGUUGGUACAUAUACACACUGUCAAUAUACAUAUGAUAUCCCCCAGUGAGGUAUAAGUCCAGUAUCACCCAAGUAGCAUCCAUAUUGGUACAUAUACACACUGUCAAUAUAUAUAUGAUAUCCCCCAGUGAGGUAUAAGUCCAGUAUCACCCAAGUAGCAUCCAGGUUGGUACAUAGUCACACUGUCUAUAUAUAUAUAUGAUAUCCCCCAGCAGAUGUUUAUGAUACAACAACAAUGUACGUGCAAUAUUGUGACACUGUAUUAUGACAUCCCCUGUAAUAUAUUUAUACAUCUGAAUUGAUGUUGUCUGUCCUGCUGAUCAAUUGUAGAUAUAUUGCAUGUUAUAUAUAAGUUUUGUAAUGGAAGAUGAAGAUGAACGGCUCCUAGCCUGUACAGUUUGUUUCCAGCAGAUCCUGGCCAUAACAAGAAUGGAGACUGUGUGUGGUCAUUCCAAAUAUAGCUUCAUGUUUUAUAUAGCUUACAUUAAUUAAUAUCUAAUAUAUUGUGUCAAUGUGUUUGGUGCCUGAGUAGAACACCUGGUGUUCCUUGCAUUGUGGCUGUAUUUGCAGGUUUGUGUGAGUGUGUAGAGACAGCUGGAGCCUUGGCUUUCUGUUGUCUGUUUUACACAUUGAAACUUGAUCUCAUUUACUGUCAAACUUCAAAAUGUCUGUAGUUAAUAUGCCAUGUUGGUCCUUGUUACAGUUGAGCUGUCUGAUGUUAGUCAAGUCAUGAUGUGCUUGUAUUCUAAACAAGUCCUCUACCCCUUACUGAUCUUGUGCCCUCUACCUUCACCAGCUGCCCUGCCCCUACCAGUCACCCAUCCACUGCCAGCGUCAAUGAUUACCUCGCCUACCACCCCAGAACCAAACACAACCACCCCAACACCCCCCAAACACCACACCCCUAGGACUCCCAACACCACCCUAACAUCACCUCAACACCAUCCUACCCUGACUAAUUAAUUUUAUGAAGCCCCCCAUCCAGUACCAGCAGCAAAGACACACUCCCAACAGGACUCCCAACACCAGUCUAGCACCACCCCCAACACCACCCCAACAUCACCCCCAGGACUUCCAACACCUCCCCAUCACCACCCUACACAUCUGCAACCUUCCCUACCCUGACUGAUUAAUUUUAUGAAGUCGAACAUGACAAAGAUCUGUGUGUGAUGACAUUGUGUUGUUUUCUAGUCCCCAUCUUCACGGACCUCCCAGUCAGGAGAGUGACCCAUCUUCUGUGUAUUACCAACUAUAGAUUGUUACAUGUCAAUCUUGUCAUCUUUUUAUCAGUUCUGUAUCAGUCCACGUGUAUCAGAUCUGUAUCAACCCCUUUAUCAGUUUCAUUGCUGUGCUGAAAACUGAAGUAUACUGAUGAAAUGAAAUAAAGGAACAUGUAGAAAACUUAGAUGAGAAGAAUGUCGACAGCUGGUUGCAAUCAUAGAGCAUCAGAGAGACUUUGUUUACAGGUUGUGUGUAGAACACAUUGAAAUGUUCAGCGUUGCCAGAAUGAAACACUAUGCACAUUUAUGAGACUUAAUCCAUUAAAUUGAAUUGUUCUGUGUUAUGAAAUUAGUUUAUAAUCUCAACAGAUUGUUUUGUUUAGGACUGUGUAUGGCAAUUUCUAGUGUACAAUUAUGUCCCUUUUUUAUUCUAGGAUAUGCUGAUGUCGUGAACUUGAUUAUUAUCAGUGAGAACCAUACUGAUAUUUUAGCAGUUCUCCAAAACAGCCGACUUCCACAAAUUGUUUUCCCUCCCACUUGAGUAUCAUCAUUACUUUAUAAAUGGGAGGUCACAGGUUUCCCAGCUGUCUUAGGUGCAGCAAUAACUCGGCAGAGUGGUCUCCCUUCAGCACGCCAGAAAUAUUCAGUCUUGAGUUCAAAUUCCAAGUUUGCCAUGAUAUUGUCUCAAGGAUUGUCCCCAUACCCAUGCUCAUGGGUUUUACAAAAGUGGUAAACAUCUUGGACCUUCACACUUUCUCCCAACAUUCAACAGACACUGAAAUACUGUUAGAAAUGGGUGUUAAAUCAAACUCACUCACUGACUCACUGUAACGUAUGUUAUAUUUGGGAUUACUCUUUUACAUUUGACCACCUUCUAAAUGGCAUUGUGUGUUUAUCACUCACUCACUCACAAGAUGAAUGUGUUCAGGGACUAUGAAAGAUGCCUUGUGAAACAAAUUGUUACCUGUUCCCUUAUUUCUUUCCAUCAGUAUUGUACGUUUCUGUGCUACUCAAAAUAUGUUAAAAAACUCCCACUUUUGUCAUAGACUUGAGUUAAUCUGUCAAAGCCACGAUACAUUACCUGUAGUUGUAUGGAAAAACCCAGGGGUUCCUUAACUUGUUUUGAGUAGUAUAAGUGACUUCUGUCAUGAUUAUCAGGGCUGUCACCAGUGUAUGAAAUAAGCCAAAAACCCAGCCAGACAUCUGGGCUGGUAACUUCAAAAACCUACCAGCCCAGAAGAGAUUUAACCAGUCAGUGCCAGUGGGCAUGUUAUCGGAAUAUAUUUUUUUCACCCGUCCAUCGGGCUGGCUAGCUGUAAAAUUAGACCGUCCGGCAGAAAUCUAGCCCGUCUCGGGCGGUCGGACGGGCCUUAUUUCAUACACUGCUGUCACUAUGCAGGUGUUCCACUGUUCGGAUGUUGUGACGAACACGGAUUGCAGCUUCUAAGGACUCCGAGAUGGGAAGUGAAAACAGUCGUCAAGGUUGUCAUAAUUCCAUUAUGUAUCAGUUUCCUGAAACACCUGGCAGCCUGGGUUGUCCUCAUUCCUUACUGUUUUACUCAGAGAUAAAAAGGAAGUUGAUCAAAGCAGGUGAAACAGAAGGUGACAGGAAGCUGAUCUUUUAUGUAAGUUUGCGUCACAAUGAGUCUGAGACAAACGGCGGAGCUUGACAAGAUCCUUUGAUCCUGAACUUCGUCAUGUGGCAUGGCUGUCAUGUCUGUGGUCAGUACUGGUCAGACUCAGUGUUCCAGUUACACAACAUACCUGCAGAAAUUCCCAGUACUGUUGAGAUGUAUGUACAUAUUUUAGACAUGUAUAAUGGCCUGAGUUGAGGAGAUAUUUUAACAAAUGCUUGUUGUUUGAAUGUGAUUAUUUUAGACAUUGUUAUUAUUGUUAAUAUCUAGACAUAUCAUGUGUAAAGAUUGUAGAUGUUGCUGUUGUCGGGUAAAUAAUGUGACAUAUCAUUUUAAGGCUAAAUGAUGGAUUAAAUAAUUUAUUGAAAAUGAGAACUUUUCUUUCCAAGAAUGCAGGUGAGUGCAGGGUGACACUAUGCACAUAUUUCAUGCAGUAUGCCUUUAGACAACUACAGGACUGUGGUAAUUAAAAAUGUUGAUAAUUUUUAGACCAAAAGUGAGGAAUUAUUAUAUGAGAGAACAUGAGUGUUCAAACAGGAACUUCAGG